rnacentral:miRNA from 1 species
UCCUUGAGGGGACUGAGGUGCGGCGAUGCACAGAUCAUUGCUCCCUCUUCUUCCCACGUCUCCUCAGGA